rnacentral:tRNA from 1 species
GGGAUCGUAGUUCAAUUGGUUGGAGUACAAUUCUGUCAAGACGGAAGUUGCGGGUUCGAGCCCCGUCAGUCCCG